GAUGAAGAACGCAGCGAAAUGCGAUAAGUAAUGUGAAUUGCAGAAUUCAGUGAAUCAUCGAAUCUUUGAACGCACAUUGCGCCCGCCAGUAUUCUGGCGGGCAUGCCUGUUCGAGCGUCAUUACAACCCUCAGGCCCCCGGGCCUGGCGUUGGGGAUCGGCGGAAGCCCCCUGCGGGCACAACGCCGUCCCCCAAAUACAGUGGCGGUCCCGCCGCAGCUUCCAUUGCGUAGUAGCUAACACCUCGCAACUGGAGAGCGGCGCGGCCACGCCGUAAAACACCCAACUUCUGAAUGUUGACCUCGAAUCAGGUAGGAAUACCCGCUGAACUUAAGCAUAUCAGUAAGCGGAGGA
rnacentral:misc_RNA from 1 species